GAGUUUGAUCCUGGCUCAGGACGAACGCUGGCGGCGUGCUUAACACAUGCAAGUCGAACGGGAGAGGACUUCGGUUUUCUCUAGUGGCGAACGGGUGAGUAACACGUAAGGAACCUGCCCUAGAAUCGAGGAUAACCACGGGAAACUGUGGCUAAUACUGGAUAGGAUACGAGAUCGCAUGAUUUUGUAUUUAAAGACGCUUUCGGGCGUUGUUCUAGGAGGGCCUUGCGCAGCAUUAGCUAGUUGGUAGGGUAACGGCCUACCAAGGCGACGAUGCUUAGCUGGACUGAGAGGUUGAACAGCCACACUGGGACUGAGACACGGCCCAGACUCCUACGGGAGGCAGCAGUAGGGAAUUUUCGGCAAUGGGCGAAAGCCUGACCGAGCAAUGCCGCGUGAACGAAGAAGGCCUUCGGGUCGUAAAGUUCUGUUGUUAAGGAAGAACGAGUGUAGUAGGAAAUGACUAUACUGUGACGGUACUUAACCAGAAAGCUCCGGCUAACUACGUGCCAGCAGUCGCGGUAAUACGUAGGGAGCGAGCGUUAUCCGGAAUUAUUGAGCGUAAAGCGUGCGUAGGCGGCUUUUUAAGUCAAAUGUGAAAUCCCACAGCUUAACUGUGGAGGGUCAUUUGAAACUGGAAGGCUAGAGUACGGCAGAGGUUAGUGGAAUUCAAUGUGUAGCGGUAAAAUGCGUUGAUAUAUUGAGGAACACCAGUGGCGAAGGCGGCUAACUGGACCGGAACUGACGCUGA
rnacentral:rRNA from 1 species